rnacentral:rRNA from 1 species
UACGUAGGUGGCAAGCGUUAUCCGGAAUUACUGGGCGUAAAGCGCACGCAGGCGGUCUUGUAAGUUUGGCGUGAAAGCUCUCGGCUUAACUGGGAGAGGUCGCUGAAGACUGCAAGACUUGAGGCAAUGAGAGGGGUGUAGAAUUCCUGGUGUAGUGGUGGAAUGCGUAGAUAUCAGGAGGAACACCGGUGGCGAAGGCGGUUCUCUGGGCCUGUACUGACGCUGAGGAGCGAAAGCGUGGGGAGCAAACAGG